rnacentral:rRNA from 1 species
CGGACGGGUGAGUAACACGUGAGCAACCUGCCUUUCAGUGGGGGACAACAGUUGGAAACGACUGCUAAUACCGCAUAACGUGCCGGAAGGGCAUCCUUUUGGUACCAAAGAUUUAUCGCUGAAAGAUGGGCUCGCGUCUGAUUAGAUAGUUGGUGAGGUAACGGUCCACCAAGUCGACGAUCAGUAGCCGGACUGAGAGGUUGAUCGGCCACAUUGGGACUGAGACACGGCCCAGACUCCUACGGAAGGCAGCAG